rnacentral:rRNA from 1 species
GGUGAAUGCUGGCGGCGUGGAUAAGUCAUGCAAGUCAAGGGGGCCCGCAAGGGCAACCGGCAAACGAGGUAGUAACACGUAGGUAGACCCCCCCAGAGUCGGGCAUAGCCAGCCGAAAGGUUGGGUAAUUCCCGAUAGUCCCGAAAGGGUAAAGGUUUUUCGCUCUGGGAGUUGCCUGCGUAGUAUCAGCUAGUUGGUAGGGUAAUGGCCUACCAAGGCUACGACGCUUAGGGGAGCUGAGAGGCUGACCCCCACCGAUGGAACUGCGACACGGUCCAUACUCCUACGGGAGGCUGCAGACGAGAAUAUUCCGCAAUGGGCGAAAGCCUGACGGAGCGACGCCGCGUGAUUGAUGAAGUGCUUCGGUACGUAAAGAUCUUUUAUCGGGGACGAAGUUUAUUGACGGUACCCGAUGAAUAAGGGGCUCCUAACUACUGUGCCAGCAGCCGCGGUAAU